GCAAGCUAUCCCUCGCUGCUAAGCUAUCCCUCGCUGGCUAUCUCUCACUGCUAAGCUAUCCCUCACUACUAAGCUAUCUAUCGCUGCUAAUCUAUCUAUCGCUGCCAAUUUAUCUACCGCUGCCAAUCUAUCCCUCACUGCUAAGCUAUCCCUCGCUGCUAAGCUAUCACUGCCAAUCUAUCGCUGCUAAUCUAUCGCUGCCAACCCAUCUACCGCGGCGAAUCUAUCUAUCGCUGCCAAUUCAUCCACCACUGCCAAUCUAUCUAUCGCUGCCAAUCUAUUGCUGCUAAUCUAUCGCUGCUAAUCUAUCGCUGCUGCCAAUCUAUCUAUCGCUGCUAAUCUAUCGCCGCUGCCAAUCUAUCCCUCGCUGCUAAGCUAUCCUUCGCUGCUAAGCUAUCCCUCACUGCUAAGCUAUCUCUCACUGCUAAGCUAUCCCUCGCUGCUAAGCUAUCCCUCGCUGCUAAGCUAUCCCUCACUACUAAGCUAUCUAUCACUGCUAAUCUAUCGCUGCCAACCUAUCUAUCACUGCCAAUCUAUCUAUCGCUGCUAAUCUAUCGCUGCUAAUCUAUCACUGCUAAUCUAUCGCUGCCAACCUAUCUAUCGCUGCCAAUUUAUCCACCAC
rnacentral:sRNA from 1 species